rnacentral:ribozyme from 11 species
AGACGAAGAAGAAGAAAGAUUUAUUACCCAGCCGUAUCUCGAUUGGUUGUACUGUUGUCUUCAUUUUCGUUCUUCUCGUUUUGGUAGAAUUGACUUUUCGGCAGGUUCUUAUCUCUCUUCAGGUAGGUAGAAAGAGGUUUCUCCUCGACAUCAAAAUAAUAGGAAAGAGGAUAGAAGUUGUUUUGUUCCUUAUAUACUGUGUACUUCU